UGUGCUAAUACCGCAUAAUCUCUCAGGAGAAAAGCAGGGGAUCGCAAGACCUUGCGCUUUAGGAGCGGCCGAUGCCUGAUUAGCUUGUUGGUAAGGUAAAAGCUUACCAAGGCUUCGAUCAGUAGCUGGUCUGAGAGGACGACCAGCCACACUGGGACUGAGACACGGCCCAGACUCCUACGGGAGGCAGCAGUGGGGAAUUUUGGACAAUGGGGGAAACCCUGAUCCAGCCAUGCCGCGUGAGUGAAGAAGGCCUUCGGGUUGUAAAGCUCUUCCAGCCGGAACGAAACGGU
rnacentral:rRNA from 1 species